AUGGCUCCAGAACCUGGCGACGGUUGUAAGUGCCCCUUUUGCGGUCCGCCCCGCCUGUCUCUGCACCCGCCGGCCCUCGAGGACCUGCUCCUGGGCUCCAAUGCCAGCCUCACAUGCACACUGAGCGGCCUGAAAGACCCCCAGGGUGUCACCUUCACCUGGAGUCCCUCAGUUGGGACAAGACCUAUCCAGAAGACCCCCGUGCGUAACCCCAGUGGCUGCUACAGCGUGUCCAGCAUCCUGCCAGGCUGCGCUGAGCAAUGGAAAAGUGGGACGACCUUCUCCUGCACCGCCACGCACCCUGAGUCCAAAGAGUCACAGACUGUCACCAUCGCCAAAGCCAAAGUAAACAUCUUCAAGCCCCAGGUCCACCUGCUGCCGCCGCCGUCGGAGGAGCUGGCCCUCAACGAGCUGGUGACGCUGACGUGCCUGGUGCGGGGCUUCAGCCCUAAGGAUGUGUUGGUGCUCUGGCUGCAAGGGAACAAGAAGCUGCCCCGUGAGAAGUACCUAACCUGGGAGCCCCUGCGGGAGCCCGACCAAAGCGUCACCACCUUCGCCGUGACCAGCCUGCUGCGCGUGGAGGCCGAGGCCUGGAAGAAGGGAGAGAGCUUCUCCUGCACGGUGGGCCACGAGGCGCUGCCCCUGGGCUUCACCCAGAAGACCAUCGACCGCCUGGCGGGUAAACCCACGCACGUCAAUGUGUCUGUGGUCAUGGCGGAGGCAGAAGGCACCUGCUACUGAGCUGCCCCCGCCCACCCCUUGAAUAAACUCCAUGCUUGCCCAAAGCAGCUCCUUGCUUC